GCUGAGGAAAUAGUUCAGUUGGGAGAGCGUUAGACUGAAGAUCUAAAGGUCCCUGGUUCAAUCCCAGGUUUUGGCA